GGCGACAGCGGGGACGACGCUAAGUCGAGCAAUGGCGAAGCGGCCCGUGGUGGCAGUAACGGUGGAGAGAAGCAGGGGGAUGAAUCCAACGGUGGCGGGAUACUUAGCGCGGUGGCUUCCAGGAUCGGCGUGGUCGUGUCCGGCGCCAACGGGGACCACAGCGGCAGCGCUGAGGAUGGUGCCAAGACGAGCGCUGGCGAUGCUGGUCACGGUAGCAAGGGCAAGGAGAAGGGGCGUGGUGUGAACGGUGGUAGAAUAGUCGAGCAGAUCAUUUCCAAUCUGCCCUCAGAUGAUCAGGCGCCUGAUGCCGAUGAAGCUUCCUUGCUCAUCGCCAUUAUCAAAGAUUAGCUCCAUGUUCCGAAGGCUCUCUAGGUCGUCCUCAACGCCAGGAUCAAAUCAUCAGCUGAGCCGGAGACUGAAAACAAUAAAGAAAAGCAAGCAGCUGGUCAUAGUAAACAUCAUGUAGCGAGGUUUAGCAGAUUGCUUUUUUUCCCGUUAGAAUCAGUCCACAUGUCCUCGACACGGGCUAGAUUUGUUCUAGGAUUAUUUUUCCAGUAGUAAGCCAUGUAUCCAUGGACAGUCCACAACGCGACGUCUAAUGUAACAUCAUCAAGGUUCUUUUGACUAUCCCAUAAGAAACCAUUCCUUAAGACAACCGAUAUUGUGAGUUGAUAACCAACAACUAAUGUUACCAUGUGAUUGUUCCGCAAAACAA